CCACGGGAGGCUGCAGUGGGGAAUAUUGGACAAUGGGCGAAAGCCUGAUCCAGCCAUGCCGCGUGUGUGAAGAAGGCCUUCGGGUUGUAAAGCACUUUCAGUGGGGAAGAAAGCCUUGGGGCUAAUACCCUCGAGGAAGGACAUCACCCACAGAAGAAGCACCGGCUAACUCCGUGCCAGCAGCCGCGGUAAUACGGAGGGUGCGAGCGUUAAUCGGAAUUACUGGGCGUAAAGCGCGCGUAGGCGGUCUGAUAAGCCGGUUGUGAAAGCCCCGGGCUCAACCUGGGAACGGCAUCCGGAACUGUCAGGCUAGAGUGCAGGAGAGGAAGGUAGAAUUCCCGGUGUAGCGGUGAAAUGCGUAGAGAUCGGGAGGAAUACCAGUGGCGAAGGCGGCCUUCUGGACUGACACUGACGCUGAGGUGCGAAAGCGUGGGUAGCAAACAGGAUUAGAUACCCUGGUAGUC
rnacentral:rRNA from 1 species